rnacentral:rRNA from 1 species
AUGCUACUACAACCGAGGGCGAAGGCCACCCUGGUUCUUGGAGGGGAGUCGUUCGCAGUCAGCUCUGAGUUAGGUGCCCUGUCGGAGCAGCUGGCGGCAAUGAGGGAGAAGAGCAUGGUGAUCCUCAAGGACUACAUCACCAAGCACAACGCUCCAAAUGAUGUCCCUGAUGAAUCCAUCGAGGGCUGA